AUUUAGUGUUUGAAAUAUGCUUUGAGCCUUCAGCUGCCAUGUGCUGUUCCUAUAAAUGACUAGCAUUUUUACUAUGUUGAAAAAGCCAUCUAGUACAUCAGUGUGAUCUGGUAUGUUGUCCAGGUGUUUUAAGUGCCAAUCUUGAUAAAGGUCCUCACAUGGACCGAAACGUCGAUGAAAAACGGCAUCAACAGUGAACCUGAAUAAAAUUAUAUUGAAUUUACAAGUGAAUUCAGAGACUGAUCUCUGGGCGUGAG